UACGUAGGGAGCGAGCGUUAUCCGGAUUUAUUGGGCGUAAAGCGUGCGUAGGCGGUUUAUUAAGUUUAAGAUUAAAUACCGGGGCUUAACUCCGGAUCGUCUUAAAAACUGGUAGGCUUGAGUGUAGUAGAGGUAAAUGGAAUUUCUAGUGUAGCGGUGAAAUGCGUAGAUAUUAGAAGGAACACCAGUGGCGAAGGCGAUUUACUGGGCCAUAACUGACGCGGAGGCACGAAAGCGUGGGGAGCAAAUA
rnacentral:rRNA from 1 species